rnacentral:tRNA from 2 species
GGCCCCGAAGUGUUUCAUGUCGGGUUGCAAACCCGAAGACGACCAACUGGUCCGGGGCUU